rnacentral:rRNA from 1 species
AUGGAUCACAAUCUUAAGAUUAUCUUCUGGAAUGUGUGCGGCUUAAACUCUGGUGCUAAGCGUUCGGCCGUCCGCAGCGUGAUCUCCGCUGCUGCCCCCUCCAUUAUGUGCUUGCAAGAGACUAAACUUGCCCACAUCCCGGACUCCACGAUCCUCGACACUCUCGGACCCUCCUUUGAGGACUACUUCCUCCCGGCCUCUGGCACGCAUGGUGGCGUCGUCCUCGCGUGGCGCAGAUCGCAUGUCUCCCUCUCUAACCCCCUGAUCGGAGAACACCACAUCACCGCUCUUGUUUCCCCCGUCGGUGCCAGUGGGCACUGGUGGCCCACCAGCGUGUAUUGA